UUUUUCACUAUUUAGUUUUAUACUUUAGAUUCUAAUAAAAUGCUUUAAUAAAACAUAAUUGUUUCCUUCACAGGGUGGAUCAUUUAUUGCAACCAGUGGAUCAAGUAAUCAGGGUGGCUGCAUUUGUCCUGAUGGAAGCAGCGGUCAUAGACAGGUAAUUAUUUUCCUGUGUUUAUACUUCCUUCUACAUAAUGGAGUAUUUUGAAUUAAUCACCUUGUAAAUAUGGACAUUUGGUUAACACUAAUGACGAUUUCCUUAGUAUGGGUAGAAGUAUAUACAAUUAAAUGAAAGAAUGAGCUCCACUUAGCUGCAUAAUUACCAUUUG
rnacentral:lncRNA from 1 species